rnacentral:lncRNA from 1 species
AGACCACCUCCAUGGAUAAAUCAACUGGAGUCAAACCACAACACCGCGGAUUAAUGACCACCCACACUACUAUAUAUUGAUAGCUACACUAGAAUCUUGCAGGUAUGUGUGAAAUUCGAGAGAGUUACGUGGAAAUGAAGCGUGAAGCAAGAAGAUAAAGGAAGAAUAGUUGUCAAGGAUGAUCUAACUAAAUGGUCCAGAAAAGAUGUGAAUUCAACUGAGAAGCUACACAGCAUUUAGAAGGAAUGCCAAAAGUAGCCAUGGACAAAGAGCAAAAACAAGCUGUACACAAAUAGAAAGAAAGAAAGAACACAUACUGCAGGCAUAUCAUCAAAAAGUAUUUCAGCUUAUGGUUCUUGCUCAACCUUCCUGUCAUUGUCAGCAAUAAUCUUUCCACAUAAAGCAUCAUUCUGAACCUUGAGUACCUUAUUUUCAAUUUUUAGCUUUGCAUUCUCCUCCAAAAUCUGCGGU